UAAGCGGAGGAAAAGAAACUAACAAGGAUUCCCCUAGUAACUGCGAGUGAAGCGGGAAAAGCUCAAAUUUAAAAUCUGGCAGUCAUAUGGCUGUCCGAGUUGUAAUUUAGAGAAGUGCUAUCCGCGCUGGACCGUGUACAAGUCUCCUGGAAUGGAGCGUCAUAGAGGGUGAGAAUCCCGUCUUUGACACGGACUACCAGGGCUUUGUGAUGCGCUCUCGAAGAGUCGAGUUGUUUGGGAAUGCAGCUCAAAAUGGGUGGUAAAUUCCAUCUAAAGCUAAAUAUUGGCGAGAGACCGAUAGCGAACAAGUACCGUGAGGGAAAGAUGAAAAGAACUUUGGAAAGAGAGUUAAACAGUACGUGAAAUUGUUGAAAGGGAAACGCUUGAAGUCAGUCCCGUUGGCUUGAAAUCAACCUUGCUCUUUUGCUUGGUGUACUUUCUUGUCGACGGGUCAACAUCAGUUUUGGCUGCUGGAUAAAGGUUGAGGGAAUGUGGCAUCCUCGGAUGUGUUAUAGCCCUUGAUUGUAUACAGUAGCUGGGACUGAGGAACUCAGCACGCCGCAAGGCCGGGUCUUUGNNNACGUACGUGCUUAGGAUGUUGGCAUAAUGGCUUUAAUCGACC
rnacentral:rRNA from 1 species